rnacentral:rRNA from 1 species
UAGGUAAUCUUCGGCAAUGGACGAAAGUCUGACCGAGCAACGCCGCGUGGGUGAAGAAGGUUUUCGGAUCGUAAAACUCUGUUGUUAGAGAAGAACAAGGACGUUAGUAACUGAACGUCCCCUGACGGUAUCUAACCAGAAAGCCACGGCUAACUACGUGCCAGCAGCCGCGGUAAUACGUAGGUGGCAAGCGUUGUCCGGAUUUAUUGGGCGUAAAGCGAGCGCAGGCGGUUUCUUAAGUCUGAUGUGAAAGCCCCCGGCUCAACCGGGGAGGGUCAUUGGAAACUGGGAGACUUGAGUGCAGAAGAGGAGAGUGGAAUUCCAUGUGUAGCGGUGAAAUGCGUAGAUAUAUGGAGGAACACCAGUGGCGAAGGCGGCUCUCUGGUCUGUAACUGACGCUGAGGCUCGAAAGCGUGGGGAGCAAACAGG